ACACCGGCGGCUCGAGUGGUAACCGUUAUUAUUGGGUCUAAAGGGUCUGUAGCCGGCCGGAUAAGUCUCUUGAGAAAUCUGGCAGCUUAACUGUCAGGCUUUCAGGAGAUACUGUCUGGCUCGAGGCCGGGAGAGGUGAGAGGUACUUCAGGGGUAGGGGUGAAAUCUUGUAAUCCUUGAAGGACCACCAGUGGCGAAGGCGUCUCACCAGAACGGACUGACGGCAAGGGACGAAAGCUAGGGGCACGAACCGGAUUAGAUACCCGGGUAGUCCUAGCCGUAAACGAUACUCGCUAGGUGUCGGCCACGGUGCGACCGUUGUCGGUGCCGUAGGGAAGCCGUGAAGCGAGCCACCUGGGAAGUACGGCGC
rnacentral:rRNA from 1 species